CGCCGGCGGGAGCGUUUGCCGUUGGCGUCGUCGUCGUCGCGGCGUCGACGGCGAACGCGCCUGGCGCGGACUGGCGCGGCAUGGGGGUGGGGGUGUGUGGCGUGAAGAGCCGAGACCGAUCUACCUUAGUCGACGUCAAGCCGUCGCGACGCGUGCGUCUUCUCUCAUUGUCGUUUUCUCGUACCUCACGAGACUCGCGUGUUCUCCGCGGCGCGCAGCGUGUCGCGAGCGUGUGCCCACCUGUUCGCACCGGAAGAGAGACCGUCUACGCUUCUACCAUCUCACCCCCCCCCUCCCUACCCCCAUCGUCAUCCCCUCCAGCUACGAUUUACUUAACCUUCGAGUACUCAUCUACUUCUUAUUCUCCCUCUUAUUAUUUUUCUUCGGGAAAAGAGAUCGUGGGCGAUCUAAACUUUUCAUUUUCUAUUACGGACAGGAACUUUGAAUUUUCUCUCUGGAAAAGGAUUUUACAACUGGAAAGGGAGUCCUCUUCGUUUCGAUAGUUUUCGAAAGUGAGAGAACUCGAGGUGUCGUCGAUGUUGUCGUUCACGUCGCCGUUCGUGAGCCUCGCCUUUUGACCCGAGGCUCGCGAGCAGCGAUCAAAGACGCGGUGUUUUUAUCGUGGAACGUGUUUUCAACUGGACGAUAGUUGGCAAGAGUGAACGAAGAGAGAAGAGAGAAGAUAAGAAGAGAAAGAAAAGCGUGGACGAGCGUGGAAAAUUUGAGGAUCGUUAUUAUGGUCAUCGGAUGACAAUGGCCGAUACUUCGGAGUCCUCGUAGAGAAACGAGGAGGUUUCUCUCUUCCUCGACCAUUCUCCUUCUUCCUCAUCGAGAGAAGAAGGAUCUCAUCGUUCGAGAGGAAGAUUGCGAAGGGUGAAGAAGAGGCAACGCUUUUAAAGGCGACCCUCUCGCCUUCUCCAUUCUCACCGUGUCCUCUUCUUCUUUCCGCUACGCGGGAUUUUCGAAAUUUGCCGCCACCGAGGAGGGAUCGAUCUAUCAGUGAAAGGGGGACCGCUUCUCGAAAGGAAGAGACGUACACUAGGUGGAAGAGGAGAAAGAGGAAGAAGAGGAGGAAGGGUGGGGACUCUGGGUACUGAUAAGGGCUUAUCCAGAGAUACGAUGGCUGCCGACCGAGCCAUUCUCGUCAGUCGUAGCGUUCAGGUGCCGUCGAUGAGAUCGUCGUCGUUCCGCUUUAACUACGGUGAUAUCGUCGCGAGUUCCUCGGCGCGAGUUCCCCUUUACCAAGUGGUGGUAUGCUGACUUGUCGUUCUCUUAGCGGGACGACCAACGACAAAGAUAGAUAGAUAGUCUUCAAGGAUAUAGAUAGAUAGAUAGAUAGAUAGAUAGAUAGAUAGAUAGAUAGAUAGAUAGAUAGAUAGGUAGAAAGAUAGACAGAGCGAGAAGGAAAGAAGGACGGACGAAGAGAGAAGAGAGAAGAGAAAGUGGAACGACGAGAGGACCGAAAAAGAUCGCGAAAGAAGUUCCAGUGCCUUUGGCCGUGCGAUCUCGGUUGAACGAACGUUUGAGGAUGAACUGGAUUAGAUAAGGAUAUUCGUCAACGACAAUCGCGAAUAAAACAUUUCGUAAAAUCAUCGAUUGUUCGCGAGUGUGCGGAGGCAAAGUGCCGUUUGAGUUUCGUGCAUAUCGGGUUAUCACGUACACACGAUUAUAUAUUUAUAUAUAUAUAUAUAUAUAUACAUUCAUACAUAUAUAUAUAAUAUAU